rnacentral:sRNA from 1 species
CAGUAAGAUGUUGGCAGAAUCAUGCUCCCUCUUUAGCUUCUUGUGGGGGCCAACAAUCCUUGACAUUCCUGUCUUUCAGCCACGCCACUCCAAUCUCUGCCUCCAUUAUCACAUGGUUUUGUUUCCUGUGUGUUUAUGUCCAAAUUUCUCACUUCUUCCAAAAGCACCAGUGAUUGGCUUAUGGCCCACCCUAAUCUAGUAGGACCUUGAUUUAGCUUGAUUCCAUCCUCAAAGGCCCUAUUUCCAAAUAAGGCCACAUUCAUAGCUCUGCUGUAGAUGUUGUCAUUAUUUCUUUGGCCAUCUUUAAUGGAAUUUGGGUGGAAGGAAGGAGAGAGAGUUAAGUGUGUGCAUCAAAAUCACCAUCUUAAAGUGAAAUAAUGUUACAUCACAGUCUUCAUUAAUAUUUUACUUAUUGAUAAAUGGAAUUAAUAAUGGUCACUAGAAGAGAACAAUGGUGCCAUGGCUGUCAGCUAUUAAGGAAAUACAAACAAAAUGAUCAACGGUGUCAAAAAUCUCUGCCUUGAGUCAUCCCUGCAACAGCUCAAGGCAUAUUCUUUCCUUCCACUGAAGAGUAAUCUUCCUCCAGAGAACUUGCCUAGGUGCCUAGCUCAGAAAAUAUCUAAGAGUAUUUCUCAAAAAGUAUUUAAUGUCAGUAAAAAUGGAAAGAUAAUGUGCAGUGACAUUUUCUAAUUCUUCUUGUUGUCGGGAGAAGGGAAGUCUUGAGGCACAAGUCGAACUUAGGGAACAUCAUAGAGUCAGCAGCAUGGAAGAGGCAGAAGGCCUGGAUGUGAGGAGAGAUAAGGCGUAUUUUCUGUGCCCACCCAUGACCAGGCGCUAUAACGCUUAUUUAUCUUCACACAAGCCUGCAAGAAGUUCUAAAAUAGAUGACAACUACUUGAAGGAAUUGAAUGAGGACUUAAAGCUAAGGAAGCAGGAACUGCUAGAGAUGCUCAAACCUCUAGAAGACAAAAACAACCUCUUAUUUCAAAAGUUAAUGUCUAACUUGGAGGAAAAACAAAGGAGUCUUCAGAUCAUGAGGCAGAUCAUGGCAGGGAAGGGGUGUGAGGAAUCCUCGGUCAUGGAGCUCCUUAAGGAAGCAGAGGAGAUGAAACAGAACUUGGAAAGGAAAAACAAGAUGCUUCGGAAGGAAAUGGAGAUGCUGUGGAACAAGAGGCUCUUUCUCCCACCAGGAAAAGCAACAGAGGAAAAUGGAAUGGGUCAAGUAUCAGGAACAAAACAACAUCCUUCAGAAUGAUUUUCAUGGCAAAGUGAUUGAGCUGAGAAUUGAAGCCUUGAAGAACUACCAGAAGGCCAAUGACCUGAAAUUAUCACUGUAUUUGCAGCAGAAUUUUGAGCCAAUGCAAGCAUUUUUAAAUAUUCCUGGGUCCCAAGCAUUUCCUUGAGCUCUUCUGAGAAAAACCUGAACGUUGGAUGUACUAUGGGCAUUACAACUAUGGACAGAGUGACUACUGGCAGAAAUGAACACCAUGUGAGAAUUCUGAGAGCAAAGAUCUACAAAGAACAACAAGGAACUAAAGGAAGUCAGCUUGAUGAUACAGGAGGGAGGCUCUUUUUUCUGAGGUCACUGCCAGAUGAAGCACUGAAGAAUUAGCAGGCUUUCGCUCCAUUUGCUUUGGACAGAUUUAAAGACUAGGCACAGCCAUUUGUGUUAAUUAAAAUCUCUCAAACCUUUGUUUUAGUGCUGUUUUCCCUCUCUCCCCCCACCAAACUGGGUGGAAAUGUUGGAUGUUUGGCCUUAAACAUGUAUGGAAUGUAGUCAUUUAGGAAUUGUAAACAACCUCUGAUUAUUUUGAUAG